rnacentral:tRNA from 1 species
GGAAGCGUGCCCGAGAAUAGGGGCUACUUUGAUAGAGUAAAUACAGAGCAAUAAACCUCUCUCUUCCA